UACGUAGGGGGCAAGCGUUGUCCGGAAUCAUUGGGCGUAAAGCGCGUGUAGGCGGCUCGGUAAGUCUGCUGUGAAAGUCCAGGGCUCAACCCUGGGAUGCCGGUGGAUACUGUCGAGCUCGAGUCCGGAAGAGGCGAGUGGAAUUUCAGGUGUAGCGGUGAAAUGCGUAGAUAUCUGAAGGAACAUCAGUGGCGAAAGCGACUUCCUGGACCAAUACUGACGCUCAUGUGCGAAAGCGUGGGGAGCAAACAGG
rnacentral:rRNA from 1 species